UCCGUGUUAAGGAAAUAAUGAAUGGGGCCAUGUAUCGUGAGAUUUUGAGCCAAAACCUCCUUCCAUCAGCGAGAGCUUUGAAUGGUUGACCAAAUACUUAUUUUCCACCAUAAUUUACAAAUAAAUUCUGUGAAUUCCUGGAUUUUUUUUCCCACAUUCUGUCUCUCACAGUUGAAGUGUACCUAUGAUGAAAAUGACAGACCUCUGUCAUCAUUUUAAGCGGGAGAACUUGCACAACCGCUGGCUGACUAAAUACUUUUUCGCCCCACUGUAUGUGUGUUUUGUUGUUUUCUUACCCACGGUCCGAGAAUGUUCCACAUGCCGGUGUUUCGACUUUAAUAGCUUUAAUUUCAGCUUUGCCACGACCCGUAGGUUCACUGUGUGAGUGUCAUGAAUGUUCGGCACACCCGUGGUGCGUUUAAGGUCGGGCGCAGAACGCAGGGUGAGGCCUGUGUCUGGGCGAGGGUGUGUUGUGUCGGCAAAUUGCGCCGCUUUUACUGUACAGAAGUGUGUAUCUGUAUUUGCACUUGUGAACUCAUGGUGCUAUGGAAGCCUGGGUGAGUGUUCUCUUGCAGAGACUUCACCGUGGAAUCAUUUCAUUCACCGCUCUUUUUUUUUUUUUUUUUUACAUUUUUUUUUUUUAUAUUGAACUAAAUCCCUUCCUGUCUGUUGGAUAUGUGAGAGACACCUGUAGCUUCCUCACAUUCUUGUGCGUUCUGUUCAUUAGCGCCCGUGUCAGUGGGUGCGUUCAGGCUUUAAAAAAAAAUUAAAUAGUAAAUAAAAGCUGGUCAUCACCUUGGCUAGUAGUGCAUGAGUUGCACAGUAGCACGUUAGCCUCCCUGGAUGCUAAUGGUUAAUAGCUCCAUCACGGUCCUUUCCGUCACCACACACCGGAAGCAAUGUCAUGGGUGAAAGAGCCUCAGUUCACGGCCAUACUUGCCAACCUUGAGACCUCCGAAUUCGGGAGAUGUGGGGUAAGAGUCCCGGAAGAGUUAGUGCUGCAAGGGGUUCUGGGUAUUUGUUCCGUUGCGUUAUAUGUUGUGUUACGGUGCGGAUGUUCUCCCGAAAUGUGUUUGUCAUUGUUGUUUGGUGUGGGUUCGCAGUGUGGCGCAUAUUUGUAACAGUGUUAAAGUUGUUUAUACGGCCACUCUGUGUGACCUGUAUAGCUGUUGACCAAGUCUGCUUGCAUUCACUUGUGUGUGUGUGUGUCAACAGUAUGAACGUUACAAAGAUAUUUUCUCUGCCAGUUUCUGCAUCCACUGGGAUUCUUCUUUUGUGUUUCUGCACCUGCGGUUCCCACACGAGGUUGCAACAUUGUUUGUCAACACUGUCUGCUCUCAUUUUCUCGCACAUUUGACCCUCUGGUGUUCUGUGUACCUACACUCUGUCCUCCUUGUGUGUGUGUGUGCGUGCGUGUGUGUGCGCGCAUGCGUGCGUGAUAAUGGGGUGUGUUGCACGGAAAAUUCCUCUGCCAGUUUCUGCAUCCCACUGGGAUUCUUCUUUUGUGUUUUUGCACCUGCAGUUCCCACACAAAGUUGCAUGAUUGUUUGUCAACAAUGUUUGCUCUCAUUUUCUCGCACAUUUGACCCUCUGGUGUUCUGUGUACCUACACUCUGUCCUUCUUCUGUCUCGGCCUGGUGUGUGUGUGUGUGUGUGUGUGUGUGUGUGUGUGUGUGUGUGUGUGUGUGUGUGUGUGUGUGUGCGUGACAACAAUAUGAACAUUGCACGGAAAAUUUCUCUGCCAGUUUCUGCAUCCCACUGGGAUUCUUCUUUUGUGUUUUUGCACCUGCAGUUCCCACACAAGGUUGCAACAUUGUUUGUCAACAAUGUUUGCUCUCAUUUUCUCGCACAUUUGACCCUCUGGUGUUCUGUGUACCUACACUCUGUCCUCCUCCUGUUUAGGCCUGCUGUGUGUGUGGGUGUGUGUGCGCAGUAUGAACGUUGCAUGGAAUAUUUCUCUGCCAGUUUCUGCAUCCCACAGGGAUUCUUCUUUUGCGGUUCCCACACAAGGUUGCAACAUUGUUUGUCGACACUGUCUGCUCUCAUUUUCUUGCACAUUUGAUCCUCUGGUGUUCUGUGUACCUACACUCUGUCCUCCUCCUGUCUAGGCCUGCAGCGUGUGUUUGUGUGUGUGUGUGUGUGUGUGUGUGUGUGCGUGUGCGUGCGUGCGUGACAACAAUAUGAACGUUGCACGGAAAAUUUCUUUGCCAGUUUUUGCAUUCCACUGGAAUUCUUCUUUUGUGUUUUUGCACCUGCGGUUCCCACACAAGGUUGCAACAUUGUUUGUCAGCACUGUCUGCUCUCAUUUUCUUGCACAUUUGACCCUCUGGUGUUCUGUGUACCUACACUCUGUCUUUCUCCUGUCUAGGCCUGCAGCGUGCGUGCGUGCGUGCGUGCGUGCGUGCGUGCGUGCGUGCGUGCGUGCGUGCGUGCGUGCGUGCGUGCGUGACAACAAUAUGAACGUUGCACGGAAAAUUUCUCUGCCAGUUUCUGCAUCAAACAGGGAUUCUUCUUUUGUGGUUCCCACACAAGGUUGCAACAUUGUUUGUCAACACUGUCUGCUCUCAUUUUCUCGCACAUUUGACCCUCUGGUGUUCUGUGUACCUACACUCUGUCCUCCUCCUGUCUAGGCCUGCAGCGUGUGUGUGUGCGUGCGUGCGUGACAACAAUAUGAACGUCGCACGGAAAAUUUCUCUGCGUGCGUGCGUGCCCGCCCGCCCGCCCGCCCCAUAUAUAAUGUGACUGGGCCGACACGCUUUGUAUGGAGAAAAAGUGGAUGUGACGACAGGUUGUAGAAGACGCCAAAUUGAACCCAAAUAUUGUUGUCCGGGAGGAAUUCAGGAGAAUAGUUUGCCCUGGAAGAUUUUCAGGAGGGGCGCUGAAAAUCGGGAGUCUCCCGGGAAAAAUCGGGAGGGUUGGCAAGUAUGUUCCCAGCACUCAUCUGCACUUUAGUUUGCCAUUUUGCCAGUCACCCCACAAUCCUUACGUGAGACAAGAACACACACUGCUUUCCCUUUUUCUGUGCAUGCUAAAUAGUGAAAAAACUGCUCGUAAGAUUGAUAGAUUGAGACUUUUAUUAGUAGAUUGCACAGUACAGUACAUAUUCCGUACGAUUGACCACUAAAUGGUAACACCCCAAUAAGUUUUUCAACAUGUUUUAAGUCGGGGUCCACAUUAAUCAAUUCAUGAUACAAAUAUAUAAUAUCAGCAUAAUACUGUCAUCACACAAGUUAAUCAUCAUAGUAUGUACAUUGAAUUAUUUAACCCCAAGAUGCAAAAAAGGAGGCAGGCAGGGAGUGAGAAAACAUGGUUGAAUUUAAAACACUAAGACAAAAAAACAAACAAAGGGUACAAACAAAAAGCGCGCACCUGGGCGGAUAACAAACAAAAAGGCCUAGCGUGGAAUCUAGCAGGUAUCGAGCAAAAAACACAAGUCGUACUUAUAAUAUGAAAACAAACUUGGAAGCAGAGAACAAAAGACAAGCUACAAACCACUAUCAAAUUGUUUUAAGUCGGGGUCCACAUUAAUCAAUUCAUGGUACAGAUAUAUACUAUCAACAUAAUACAGUCAUCACACAAGUUAAUCAUCAGAGUAUUUACAUUGAAUUAUUUACAUUAGGUUGAUUGGCAACACUAAAUUGGCCCGAGUGUGUGAAUGUUGUCUGUCUAUCUGUGUUGGCCCUGUGAUGAGGUGGCGACUUGUCCAGGGUGUACGCCGCCUUCCGCCCGAAUGCAGCUGAGAUAGGCUCCAGCACCCCAAAAGGGACAAGCGGUAUAAAAUGGAUGGAUGGAUGGAUAUAUGUAUUAUCUGCCCACUUCUGUUUACUUUAGGGGUUAACUGUUAGAGUUGGUUGGUGACGAACCCCAAGAUGCAAAAAAGGAGGCAGGCAGGGAGUGAGAAAACAUGGUUGAAUUUAAAACACUAAGACAAAAAACAAACAAAGGGUACAAACAAAAAGCGCGCACGUGGGCGGAUAACAAACAAAAAGGCCUAGCGUGGAAUCUAGCAGGUAUCGAGCAAAAAACAGAAGUCGUACUUAUAAUAUGAAAACAAACUUGGAAGCAGAGAACAAAAGACAAGCUACAAACCACUAUCAAAUUGUUUUAAGUCGGGGUCAACAUUAAUCAAUUCAUGGUACAGAUAUAUACUAUCAACAUAAUACAGUCAUCACACAAGUUAAUCAUCAGAGUAUUUACAUUGAAUUAUUUACAUUAGGUUGAUUGGCAACACUAAAUUGGCCCGAGUGUGUGAAUGUUGUCUGUCUAUCUGUGUUGGCCCUGUGAUGAGGUGGCGACUUGUCCAGGGUGUACGCCGCCUUCCGCCCGAAUGCAGCUGAGAUAGGCUCCAGCACCCCAAAAGGGACAAGCGGUAUAAAAUGGAUGGAUGGAUAUAUGUAUUAUCUGCCCACUUCUGUUUACAUUAGGGGUUAACUGUUAGAGUUGGUUGGUGACGAACCCCAAGAUGCAAAAAAGGAGGCAGGCAUGGAGUGAGAAAACAUGGUUGAAUUUAAAACACUAAGACAAAAAACAAACAAAGGGUACAAACAAAAAGCGCGCACGUGGGCAGAUAACAAACAAAAAGGCCUAGCGUGGAAUCUAGCAGGUAUCGAGCAAAAAACAGAAGUCGUACUUAUAAUAUGAAAACAAACUUGGAAGCAGAGAACAAAAGACAAGCUACAAAACCACUAUCAAAUAUAGCUUACCACAACGCUGCAUUGACACGAUAUGAUAUGACACGACACGACAGGUAGCAACGACAAAAGCGACAAUACAAUACAGAAGCGACAUGCAAUACGUGACUAUAAUCUAGCACUGACUGGAGGAACAAAGCAGGUAAAAUAGGAGCGGGCUGAUGGACACCAGGUGUGGCCAGGUGCCAAUCAGCCGUACCUGAGGGAAAAACAGGGCACAAGGAAAAAAAAAACAGGAAACAGACAAAAUAAGAGCGCUGACAGGAACUAAAAACCGGAAAUACUAAAUACACACACACAGGAAAAACUAAAACACAAACAAACUGUCAUUAACAUGGCUUCUUGCAUCCUCCAGUGUGUAGUGUAGGAUGUUUAGCUAUUGCAUGUGCAUUAGUCCUCCAGUGAUAAUAAUACUUGCUGUAUAAGAAACAGUUAUUUUCCACCAAGGAGGCGAGGAUGAGUUAGCCACGCUAGAAUCACUGUCAGAUUAGCGUGACACAGCUAGAAUGUGUCAUCAACAUGCGUGUUUAUAGUAAUAAGAGCUUUAUUGUCUGCCAAAAUGCUAUUUAUAUUGUUUGUAUCACACAACCCUAGUUGGUGAUUAACUUCUCCUAACCCCUAAUUACCACAGAAGCAACACGCGCUAGCGAGGUAGUCGGAAGAACGACGUGUCACGACGCCAAAGAAAGUAGUUCCUUGCUGUUUGCGAUAUAGAUAGUUUAAUAGGCAGGUGCCGGAAAUGGAGCAUCGUUGCUGUUUUUUGUUUAUAUUGUUGUUACUCAGCCAGCGUUUGUGGGUCUGAUGGACUGGACAGAUGUUUAUUGGGAUAAGGUAAACAUCUGUUCAGUAUUUUAACAUAAAAGUGUUUGAUUGGGAGGCAUUAAAAGCCACAAAAUGCAACGGGUCCAUCAGACCCACAAACGCUGGCUGAGUAACAACAAUAUAAACAAACACUUUUAUGUUAAAAUACUGAACAGAUGUUUACCUUAUCCCAAUAAACAUCUGUCCAAUAUUUUAACAUAAAAGUGUUUGAUUGGGAGGCAUUAAAAGCCACAAAAUGCAACGGGUCCAUCAGACCCACAAACGCUGGCUGAGUAACAACAAUAUAAACAAACACUUUUAUGUUAAAAUACUGAACAGAUGUUUACCUUAUCCCAAUAAACAUCUGUCCAAUAUUUUAACAUAAAAGUGUUUGAUUGGGAGGCAUUAAAAGCCACAAAAUGCAACGGGUCCAUCAGACCCACAAACACUGGCUAAGUAACAACAAUAUGAACGUUGCAGGGAAAAUUUCUCUGCCAGUUUCUGCAUCCCACAGGGAUUCUUCUUUUGUGUUUCUGCACCUGCGGUUGCGACAUUGUUUGUCAACACUGUCUGCUCUCCUUUUCUCGCACAUUUGACCCUCUGAUGUUGUUUGUACCUACACUCUGUCCUCCUCCUGUCUAGGUGUGUGUGUGUGUGUGUGUGUGUGCGCUACACAGACCAUCAAUUUCCACACUUCUAUUAGUUCCGGGUCCAAUGGACCCUGACAUCUUAUAUGUAAUAGAAACGUGUAGGGGGGGUGUAUGGUGUGUGUGGUCAUUAAAUAUCCAUCCAUUUUCUACCGCUUACUCCCUUUUGGGGUCGCGGGAGGGCGCUGGCGCUUAUCUCAGUUACAAUCGGGCGGAAGGCGGGCUACACCCUGGACAAGUCGUGACCUCAUCGCAGCGUAGCUCGGUUGGUAGAGUGGCCGUGCCAGCAACUUGAGGGUUGCAGGUUCGAUUCCCGCUUCCGCCAUCCUAGUCACUGCCGUUGUGUCCUUGGGCAAGACACUUUACCCACCUGCUCCCAGUGCCACCCACACUGGUUUAAAAUGUAACUUAGAUAUUGGGUUUCACUAUGUAAAGCGCUUUGAGUCACUAGAGAAAAGCGCUAUAUAAAUAUAAUUCACUUCACUCAUUAAAUAUUUAUUCUGAUAUAUUUUCUUUACAGAAAAUGAGCCAAAGUCAGUGAGUCUCGGUUUGAAAAAUUAAUCAAUUAUAGCAUUUUUCUUUUAUUAGUAAAUGAAAAUGGGUCCCACAGACCCGAACACCACACAAGGGUGAAAAAGGUCUAUAGGCAGAAUAGAUGACUUUUUUUAAUCGGCUUUUAUAGUCAUUGCACAUUAGCCACAUUGUUAGCCGCCUCUUGCUAGCAGUUUUUUUUUUUUACUAUUUUACUAAAUGCACAGAAAAUGGAUAGGCUAGUUUGUUCUUGUCUCUAGAAGUGUUGUGGAUUGAUGGGCAACAUUCCAAAAUUAGUGCAGUUCCCCUUUUGAAGGGAACUUCGUUUUUAAGGGUUUGUUAAAAAGUUAAAGAAAAAAAACUUUGUAAAAACAAAUAUGAUGACUUUUUAUUGCGUUCUAUAGACUCGGGAUGGGCAUUAUCAUUAAUCGACUCGUUUUUUGUUUGUUUUAGCGGAAUAAUGACAUCAACUGAAGAGUUACAAUGGAGAAGUCUCGCUGUUAUUGUUAUGUUCUUCUUCAGGCCACAGUUUAGUCAGGCCAGAACGACAGCGCCCCUGCUGGUUGCAGCCAAGUACUGCACUCCUAGGAUUAGAAUUAAGAAUCGGCUUUUAUCGUCAUUGCACGUUAGGAAAGACAAAAUUGCGGAAUUGUGGAAGCUGCCCUGCACCAGCCGUCAGGAGCAGUUCCAGGUUCUGUGUCUUGCUCGAGGACGCUCAGGCGGAGAUCGAACCAGCCACCUUUCGGUUACGACACCAAAUACUCAAGCUGUCAAUCAUAUCAAGCCCAUCCUUACGAGACUAGUUUGAGAACAGGGUACCUCCGAGGUCGGAAAAAUUCCUAAUCAUCGAGAAGACCCAAGAGCAUUUUAAAACAGGGUCUCCCUCCUACCAUGCAUGCGCCACAUCGCCAACUACUGGCCGGGCAUGCACAUUGCAGCCUUUUUCAGAUUUUUUUUGCAAAGGAUAUUUGUUUAGUGUUUGGACUUCCUGUCUAAAACACAAUUCAGUAUUUAUCCAGCGAGAUUUGCUGAAGGCCAACUGAGCGCCGAGGAGAAAAAAAAAGUGUUUUUCUUUGCUUUUCCAUCUGUUUCGAUUGAAAUGAAGAUGUAAGAAUUCCGUAGAAGCAUAAAAAAAAAUUUUUUCCUCCUUUACUCGGCAUAGGACUUGCUUGCGAUUGAUGACAAUGUACAACUUGUAAAAUGAACAUAAAUGCAAAAAAAAAAAAAUCAAGAAAACAACAAACAAAAAAAAAAUACCAGUCAGAGGCCAAGUUAAAGGACUCAACUUUUUGUGUUUUUAUUUUUUUAUUCGCAAUUUAUCACUGUGUGAUACUUUGUACAUCAUAUUAAACUGUAUUCAAACAAUUUCCUCUUCACUACAAGGGAUAAGAGACCUGCUUUUUAUUAUUAAUAAUAAUUUGGUUUAUUAUAUAUUUUUGAACUGCAUUCUAGCUUGUAUCAAAUGAGACCCCUGUUUUUUUGUUUUGUUUUUGUUUCAUGGGUCGCUAGUUGUAUGUCGUUAAAGGUAAAAACGAUAAAAAAAACAACAGUUUUGUACAGUGAA